AAAAUAGAACUUUUCCGCUUCAUUUCUUGCCAUAUUCUCCUCUACUUUGGUGGGGCUACAGUGAACGUUGCCUUUGCAUUGCCCUUCUUCAAUUUUCGUUUGGACGUCGGAGCAUGCAUUCUUGUGGCAGUCGAACAGUGUAAACCUCUCCUUGCGCCUUUUUCUUCGUAAUUCAUUGUAAAUCUCUCUUCGAAUGAAUGUAGGUGACACAAUGGUGGACGUGGAAGCACGCAUUUCUAUUGCCUUUCUUCGUGACUCAGCUGUCAUAGUUCAGUUUCUUUGCCAAAUCUCGAUAGCCACCACAUAACUACCACAUGUUCUAGAAAACUGGAAAUCUGAAGCAGCAUGUUGUUCCAAGGCUGAAGCCUAUUCUUUUGUAAAUGGAGACAUCAAUUGUUGCAACAAGACCUGUUUGGGCAUAAUACACGAAGUUCAAAACCCACGGAAGAUUACUAACCAAAGAAAGAGAAUGUAUUACUAAAAGCAUACCCUCUAGCAGAGGAAAGGCAGCAUCUAUUAAUUCCAUCUUUACACCAUUCAAAGCCUCAGUUGCAGAGUCGAUAUCAAGCAUGUGCAGAAUUACUGGUUGAUCAGAGCCUAGCGACCACCCUUGCAAUUAUUGGAAAAAUUACAUAACCAAUUUGGUUUGUACCAUAAAAAGGAAAGCAAAAUUCCUCGAAUACAAUAAAAAUUACUUGUUGCUGGGUUUAUAACUUCUAAAUGAUAAGAGCAUAAAUGAUAAUAUGUAAAGAUAAAAUGUAAGAGCAUAAAUGAUAAAAACAACUUUGUCUCCA